UACAGAGGGUGCGAGCGUUAAUCGGAAUUACUGGGCGUAAAGCGCACGUAGGUGGCGACGUAAGUCGGGUGUGAAAGCCCCGGGCUCAACCUGGGAAUUGCAUUCGAGACUGCAUUGCUGGAGUACGGAAGAGGAGGGCGGAAUUCCCGGUGUAGCGGUGAAAUGCGCAGAUAUCGGGAGGAACACCUAUGGCGAAGGCAGCUCGCUGGGACGUACUGACGCUGAGACGCGAAGCGUGGGGAGCAAACAGG
rnacentral:rRNA from 1 species